UCAAGAUGUAUCUUUCGUGCAGAUGUAUCAAGAUGUACCUUUCACUUAAGAUCCAUGCAGGCACAAGCUUUGGAUGAACUUCUGCUUCUGCGGUCAGCAUUCUUACAGGAGAACCCAAGAUUCACUGUACCUGUAUGCAUUUCAAAACUGAAUAAUUGAUAGCAACAAGUCAAUAUUUGAAGUUGCAGCCAAAUGCUGUGCCUUCUCUGCUGCAAGAGCUACAUGUCACCAUUGAAGCAAGGACCAGCUCGACUCCUGCAGUAGGAGUCCAGCCUCGUCCAGUCGUCGCCGCUCGCCAAGA